rnacentral:tRNA from 1 species
GGGGUUGUGGCUCAGUGGUAGAGUGCUUGCCUGGCAUGUAUGAGGCACUGGGUUUGAUCCUCAGCACCA